CAACAAGAAGUCGAGCUACUUGUGCACUCAAGAGAAAGUUCAUCAAAAUCUGUUCUCAGUUGUCCCUCGUAGGAGGAAGAUCUGGAAAAGAUAAGAGAGAAAAGAAACACUUGGCACUUACUGCUGAAACAGAACAGGCAAUUGCACAUUGCCAGUUGACUGAAAACUCAACCCCCAAAUGAACUGCUGAAAUACAAAGAGGCACAAGGUAAGAGCUAACAUGAAGCAUUUGAAACCGUAUUUUCCUAUUCGUGAAUUCAUCCCUUUUCAUAUAUUUCUCAGAAUGAAAAUGAUGAAGGGAAAUAGA
ensembl:lncRNA